rnacentral:rRNA from 1 species
GACGAACGCUGGCGGCGUGCUUAACACAUGCAAGUCGAGCGGAAAGGCCCCUUCGGGGGUACUCGAGCGGCGAACGGGUGAGUAACACGUGGGUAAUCAACCCUUGACAUCGGGAUACCCCGGGGAAACCCGGAUCAAUACCGGAUAAGGUGCGGAGGCGCAGGCCGCCGUACCAAAGAUAGCUUCGGCUUUCGGUCAAGGACGAGCCCGCGGCCCAUUAGCUUGUUGGUGGGGUAAUGGCCUACCAAGGCGACGAUGGGUAGCUGGUCUGAGAGGACGAUCAGCCACACUGGGACUGAGACACGGCCCAGACUCCUACGGGAGGCAGCAGUGGGGAAUCUUGCGCAAUGGGCGGAAGCCUGACGCAGCAACGCCGCGUGCGGGAAGAAGGCCUUAGGGUCGUAAACCGCUUUCAGGGGGGACGAAGCUUCCGGGGUUAAUAGCCUACGGGGUGACGGUACUCCCAAAAGAAGGUCCGGCUAACUACGUGCCAGCAGCCGCGGUAAUACGUAGGGACCGAGCGUUGUCCGGAAUCAUUGGGCGUAAAGAGCGUGUAGGCGGCUUGGUAGGUCUCGUGUGAAAUCCCGCGGCUCAACCGCGGACCCGCACGGGAAACCCCCAAGAUCGAGUCCGGAAGAGGAGAGUGGAAUUCCUGGUGUAG